rnacentral:lncRNA from 1 species
UGUUGUUUACGAGCUUAUGAAAUAAGUGCUUUUGGCAUAAGUUGUUUCUUUUAGCCUUGUAAAGCAUGAUGUUGAGGCUUGACUAAUUCACUAACUUAUUAAUCCUUUAACUUAUAUUCAUUAUCAUGUCAUUUUUUUACUUAUGUCUAUUUUAAUUAUAAAUUCCUUGAUGCUUUAAUAUUCAUUAAUUUCAUGCAAAUCAUUUCAUCUCAUCAUGUUCAUCCUUUGACAUACUUAAUUCCAUGCAUUUAAAUUUUAUUUCUAUCUUCACCAAUGUUGUAUUGUGUGCUAUUUCCUAAUUUUGGGUUGUAUUGUGUGUUUAUGGUUUUCUUAAUUAUGUUAUUCAUUUAUUUUUGUUUUUGGACUUAGAAUGUAAUUAGGAUUUAAUUGUAAUUAUAAAUGAGAAGUUGCAUUGCAUAUGUAUGGUUGCAUUCAUUCAUAUUUAUUUAUUGAAGUUUAGAAUGUAAUUAGGAUUUAUAAUGUAAUUGCAUUGCAUGCAUUUUAUUUAUUACGCUUUAUGCCGUGUUUGCGAUCCAACGUCGCUUCAAUCCCUCGCGUUUAGUUUAGUUUAUUGCAAAAACUCAAAAACAUUCAAAAAAAAUCAAAAUCUUUUCAAAAAGAAAUCUUCUACUCUUUUUCUCAAAUAAAAUUAAUUAAUCGCGUUUUUUUUAAAAUUUGAGGUCAAAACCUCUUUUUCAACGCGCAAAACUUUUUGCUCAUUUUUUCCUUCAAAAUUGAGGUCAAAACCUCUUCAAAAAAAAUCAAAUCAAAGAAAACAUUUUUUCCAAAAACAUCAAAAAUCUAAAAAAAAUCAUUUACUCUUUCAAAACCUUUUCCCAAAAACAAAACACAAAACAAAAAUAUUUUCAAUACAAAAGCACUUGGAUUUUAAGCCAAAGUUGCAUUUUUCAAAUUCAAUCAAUCAAAACUUCUUUUUUUCCAAACUCUUGGAUUUUAAACCAAGUGAUUUCAUUACACUCUUUUCUUAAAAAAAACCUUGGACUUCAAACCAAGAGACUUUUUAUCACUUAAACCUUUUCUCAAAAAACCUUGGACUUCAAACCAAGAGACUUUUUAUCACUUAAACCUUUUCUCAAAAAGCCUUGGACUUCAAACCAAGUGUUCGCGUCUCUUUUCUAAAUCAAACAUAAAUCAAUCCUAACUAUUUAGACUUAGUUUUCACAAAUAAAAAUUGAACCAACUUCACAUUUUAUGCCACUUUGGCUUUUCCAUUUUUGAAACCUUUUUCAAAACCAUAAAAAACAAACCAACAAACAAAUCGACUUUUACCCCGAACUAC